rnacentral:rRNA from 1 species
GAUGAACGCUGGCGGCGUGCCUAAUACAUGCAAGUCGAGCGAACAGACGAGGAGCUUGCUCCUCUGACGUUAGCGGCGGACGGGUGAGUAACACGUGGAUAACCUACCUAUAAGACUGGGAUAACUUCGGGAAACCGGAGCUAAUACCGGAUAAUAUAUUGAACCGCAUGGUUCAAUAGUGAAAGACGGUUUUGCUGUCACUUAUAGAUGGAUCCGCGCCGCAUUAGCUAGUUGGUAAGGUAACGGCUUACCAAGGCAACGAUGCGUAGCCGACCUGAGAGGGUGAUCGGCCACACGGGAACUGAGACACGGUCCAGACUCCUACGGGAGGCAGCAGUAGGGAAUCUUCCGCAAUGGGCGAAAGCCUGACGGAGCAACACCGCGUGAGUGAUGAAGGUCUUCGGAUCGUAAAACUCUGUUAUUAGGGAAGAACAAAUGUGUAAGUAACUAUGCACGUCUUGACGGUACCUAAUCAGAAAGCCACGGCUAACUACGUG